CGGCCUCGGCCUGCUGCGGGGAAAUGAAAUGAAUGUGCGUGUCGAUCCCGGCGGCCGUCAGGAUGAGAUGUGAGCCCGAGAUGGCGUCGGUAGCCAAUCCCAACUCCAGGCCAGGCGUAACGCGAUCCAUCGUCUGAGGGUUGCCAGACUUGCCGAUCGCACAGAUGCGGCCAUCCUUGAUACCCACGUCGGCUUUCACGACGCCCAGCACCGCGUCGAUGACGGUCACGUUGGUGAUCACCAGGUCGGGGGCGCCCCCUGCCCGCGUCACCUGAUUGUCCAUCCCCAUGCCCUCGCGCAU
rnacentral:sRNA from 1 species